ACGCUCGACACCUACGGAAGGCAGCAGUGGGGAAUAUUGCACAAUGGGGGAAACCCUGAUGCAGCGAUGCCGCGUGAAGGAAGAAGUAUCUCGGUAUGUAAACUUCUAUCAGCAGGGAAGAAAAUGACGGUACCUGACUAAGAAGCCCCGGCUAACUACGUGUCAGCAGCCGCGGUAAUCUGAGCGGGCUGGCAAGGC
rnacentral:rRNA from 1 species